CUCCCAAACCCAAUGUGAACCAUACCAAACUGUUGCCUCGGCGGGGUCACGCCCCGGGUGCGUCGCAGCCCCGGAACCAGGCGCCCGCCGGAGGGACCAACCAAACUCUUUUCUGUAGUCCCCUCGCGGACGUUAUUUCUUACAGCUCUGAGCAAAAAUUCAAAAAUGAAUCAAAACUUUCAACAACGGAUCUCUUGGUUCUGGCAUCGAUGAAGAACGCAGCGAAAUGCGAUAAGUAAUGUGAAUUGCAGAAUUCAGUGAAUCAUCGAAUCUUUGAACGCACAUUGCGCCCGCCAGUAUUCUGGCGGGCAUGCCUGUCCGAGCGUCAUUUCAACCCUCGAACCCCUCCGGGGGGUCGGCGUUGGGGACCUCGGGAGCCCCUAAGACGGGAUCCCGGCCCCGAAAUACAGUGGCGGUCUCGCCGCAGCCUCUCCUGCGCAGUAGUUUGCACAACUCGCACCGGGAGCGAGGCGCGUCCACGUCCGUAAAACACCCAACUUCUGAAAUGUUGACCUCGGAUCAGGUAGGAAUACCCGCUGAACUUAAGCAUAU
rnacentral:rRNA from 1 species